AAAAGCACACACAGACGGAUAGACAGAUAGAUGAAUAGACAUGUGGAUCGAUAGAUGGAUACAUAGGUCAAUAGAUUGAUAGAUGGAUAGUGGGAUAGAUAGAUAUAUAGGUAGGUAGAUAGAUAGAUAGAUAGAUAGAUAGAUAGAUAGAUAGAUAGUAGAUAGAUAGAUAGGUAGGUAGGUAGGUAGGUAGGUAGGUAGGUAGGUAGGUAGGUAGGUAGGUAGGUAGGUAGGUAGGUAGAUAGAUAGAUAGAUAGAUAGAUAGAUAGAUAGAUAGAUAGAUAGAUAGAUAGAUAGAUAGAUAGAUAGAUAGAUAGAUAGAUAGGUAGGUAGGUAUAGAUAGUGGGAUAGGUAGAUAUAUAGGUAGGUAGAAAGAUAGAAAGAUCGAUAGAUGGCUAGUGAGAGAGAUAGAUAUAUAGGUAGAUAGAUCGAUAGGUGGAUAGAUAGUGGGAUAGGUAGAUAUAUAGGCAGGUAGAAAGAUAGAAAGAUCGAUAGAUGGCUAGUGAGAUAGAUAGAUAGAUAUAUAGGUGGAUAGAUGGAUAGGUACAUAGUUAUUCAUUUGCAGCCAAGGUCACACCUGGUAUGUUUCGUGUCUAAUUGUCAUUAGCUGUUUUCUGAAGGCCAGGUCCCCCCUUGUCCCCCCUUGUCCCCCCUGGUUCUCCCCUGGUCCCCCACUGGUCCCCCCAAUGUCCCCCCCAUGGUCCACCCACGUCCGUUAUGUAAUUGCAUAUUUCUAGUGCAGUGAAACAUCCAAAGAGGCCAAAAUGAGAUUUUACUCAGCAGGAUGGAGCCUCCAGUGCAGCGCUGAUGAUGACUGUAUCGGAAGAUUGAUUAGCGCUGCAAGAAGUCUGACGGAUAUUGCCACCAGAGGUGUUUGUGUGUGUGAAAGAAAGACAAGAGGUUGGUGUUAGUGGCAAAUUGCUUCGCGUAUGCAUGUAUGUGGUUUUGACUGGACUGUGUAGAUUGUGAUUCAGGUGAGAAGGGAGACCUCCACACGUGGGCGUUGAAAAACAACACUUGACAAAAGAAAGAAGAUCUUGAUCAGCUCAUGAUUUCAAUAGAUUGAGACAUGCAAACAUUAAAGGACAGUCCUUAAAUCCCAACAAUCUACUUUGGGAGUAAAAACCAACUAUAGUUCCAGUACCAGCAAUAACACCACGACUGUGGUGACUGUGGCUGGGGAGAGCAGGGUCGUCUUUCUCUCAAAGGAUCACGGUUUGAUCCCUGGCUCUACUUGUCCAUGUCCAUGUGUCCUUGGGAAAGACACUUAACUCCAGCAUUGCUCCUGUUGCUGUGACUACGGUGUGAAUGUUAGUUACUGAUGAACAGGAGGCACUGUGUAUGGUUACUCCUGUCAUCAGCGCAUGAAUGAAUUUGAACGGGCGUGAAUGAAGACGUUCAGCUGUCAAAAAUGCUGUGCUAAGUACUUAUUUUUCCGUUUCACAAACACUUUCUUAAAGCCACCUUGUUAUCACCGUCAUCCAAGUGUGUUCCAUGGUCUUUGCAAAAAAUGUAAUCUCCAAAAUCAACUGUGCAAUGUGACCUUCAUGUCAAAUGCAAAUCAAAGUCUCAAGACAUUAAUGAUGUUGGUCUUCUUUAGCAGAUGCAGUAGUAUCAGUCUGAGAAAUGGUAUCUGUAAUACCAGCAGAAGCAUUGAAGGUUACUGUUCUAUGGGUAUUAAUAGCAGAAGUUGCCGAAACACUGCUGUAGAAGUCAUUGCAAUUUGGAUAAUAAUAAUAGAGUAAAAUAUUGAAAUUAACAACUGAAACUACGAGCAAGAAAGCGAAAUGUAAAUUCAACUGCGAUUAAUUCAACCAAAUUCGCCAAUGGCAUAAGCUGCUUACAGCAUAUUGUAAGUGAACAUCUGGUGCAUCGAGGAAGAGCAAAACCAGACAAUUCAUAGACAAGUCAGUUCAGUUUCUGUCAUUUUGGUUGAGAAUGUCCAUUUGUUUAUUCGAUUCGACGAAGGCAGUGCAUAUUGGAUUCAAACCCUCAUUGUUUUAGGAUUUUCCACCGGGUACACCUACUCCUACACUGAUGUUAACGUCUUUAUUUUCUUUAUGUCCAAACGAUAUCCAUAAGUCCUCAGAUUCUAUUUAAGCUAUACCAAGUGCCACCGGUACAAGCCAGAGUUCUAGGCUUCACAUUGGAUCCCUGGACCUCCCUCCAUAAGAGGAAAAAUGUCUGUGCAACCUUUCCUACAGGACGUUGGCCACCACGAAGUGAGCCAAACAUUUUGCACAGACAAUCCCCCCACUCUGGCUUUAAUGGUGGUACACAGAGGCAAUAAUCAUAAAUAGCCAGAGCCGCUCUCUGAAUGGUGACUGAAAUUCGUCUCCUACAGUAACUGCAGCCCCGAUGCUGGGCAAUUUCCCCUCAACAUGCAAAACUGUUGGGACAAAAUGUGGUACUGCCAUUCUCCAUGCAUAUUAAAGACACUUGUCAUCAAGACGUCACCCAGGAGCUAUGAGAACAAGAGGUACAGUUCCUCCGAGACAGACUCACUCACCAUCAAAACCAUGAAAUUAGAGCUGGGAAAAUAUCCUUGUGAUGGGAAAAAUGCUACACUUUAGUGCAUUUUGCAUAAAAGAAAGGAAACGGAUGCAUGUAAAUUGCCCGUGCCACAAAGACAAAUUGGUAAUUCAGGUUUGGAAUGAAAAUGACACUAAAGUGCAAAAAGGAAAUGGUGCAGCGUGAAAGGAAUAAGGGUUGUUAAAAUGUCACAUUUGAGAUUCUGUGCCUUUAGGAAUCGAGAUGUAUUGUUAGAGGAAAUGUGAUAAACACAAGCCAAAUGUACGGAGAGCAAAUAGAAGCCCCAUGUACAGCAUGAUGUCUGAGUCAACACUCCCAGAGACAAACUGAUGAAUGCACAGUUUGUGGUUAUAUAUAGAACCUCCUCACACUUUCCUCUUGGGAACUUAUACAUUUUCUCUAGAAUAAAGAAGUACCCACACAAUGACAUUCAAAGUGUGAUUCUAAAUGAAUUAAACGAAAUGUAUAUUUGUAUAAGUGCUGAUUGAUCAGAGAAACAGAAAACAAUUUCAAAAUGGUCCAAAUACGCAGCUGUAUAUGUCUGUGCAAACAUAUUAAAUAUGUUUUCAUUAUGGACGACAUACCAUAUUCACAGCACACAACCCGUCAUCAUACACCGCUUCAACCCUGAACCCCUGUCACUGAACAAACCAAGAGACCUCGCCGAGUCCUCGUAUUUGUUUGUGGCUUGUAUUUAGAGGGAGGGAGGCAGAGCGCUUUCCCGACAUGGGUGCUGGUGACAUCAGCCACCCCCCCCCUUGGUUUGUCCCUGGGCUCCUCAGGGCCCAAGACCAGUGCCCUCCAGGAUGACAAAUGGCCCUAAUGAAAUAGGACAACUCAGCAUACAUGCAUAAGAGGACGUUAAAUAUUGAUAGUGAAAAUCAACGUAGCGGUGCAUAUUCCUCUCUUUAAUAUUUUAAGUGUCAGACAGGCCUAUUUUCUAUAUAUUGGGAGGGGUAAACUAAUGU
ensembl:lncRNA